rnacentral:lncRNA from 1 species
CAGGGAUUAAACCCAGGUCUCAAACCCACGUCUCCUUCUUUGCAGGAAGAUUCUUUACCAUCUGAACCACCAUAAGAUUAGCAACACAAAAUGAGUGUUUUUUGUUUUUUUUUUUAAGUCCAAUGUUGAAUUGAUUUUAUCACUGCUUAUGGAUUUCCCAUAGAUUUUUUUUUCCCCCCCACAGCUUGGACAAACCGCUUUACCUGACCCACUGUUGGUCCACCACUGGAAAGGAUGCAUAUGAAGGUGUAUAGAGACCAGCAGAUUUGAGGAG